rnacentral:piRNA from 1 species
UNGGCACUACUUUUGUUUGUUUCUGUUGC